AUGCUCAAAAUUCUCCAAGCCAGGCUUCAACAAUAUGUGAACUGUGAACUUACUGAUGUUCAAGCUGGAUUUAGAAAAGGCAGAGGAACCAGAGAUCAAAUUGCCAACAUCCGCUGGAUCAUCAAAAAAGCAAGAGAGUUCCAGAAAAACAUCUAUUUCUGCUUUAUUGACUUUGCCAAAGCCUUUGACCGUGUGGAUCACAAUAAACGGUGGAAAAUUCUGAAAGAGAUGGGAAUACCAGACCACCUGACCUGCCUCUUGAGAAAUCUGUAUGCAGGUCAGGAAGCAACAGUUAGAUCUGAACAUGGAACAACAGACUGGUUCCAAAUAGGAAAAGGAGAGCGUCAAGGCUAUAUACUGCCACCCUGCUUAUUUAACUUAUAUGCAGAGUACAUCAUGAGAAAUGGUGGACUGGAAGAAAUACAAGCUGGAAUCAAGAUGGCUGGGAGAAAUAUCAAUAACCUCAGAUAUGCAGAUGACACCACCCUUAUGGCAGAAAGUGAAGAGGAACUAAAAAGCCUCUUGAUGAAAGUGAAAGUGGAGAGUGAAAAAGUUGGCUUAAAGCUCAACAUUCAGAAAACGAAGAUCAUGGCAUCCGGUCCCAUCACUUCAUGGGAAAUAGAUGGGGAAACAGUGGAAACAGUGUCAGACUUUAUUUUUAUGGGCUCCAAAAUCACUGCAGAUGGUGACUGCAGCCAUGAAACUAAAAGACGCUUACUCCUUGGAAGAAAAGUUAUGACCAACCUAGAUAGCAUAUUCAAAAGCAGAGACAUUACUUUGCCGACUAAGGUCCAUCUAGUCAAGGCUAUGGUUUUUCCUGUGGUCAUGUAUGGAUGUGAGAGUUGGACUGUGAAGAAGGCUGAGCACCGAAGAAUUGAUGCGUUUGAACUGUGGUGUUGGAGAAGAGUCUUGAGAGUCCCUUGGACUGCAAGGAGAUCCAACCAGUCCAUUCUGAAGGAGAUCAACCCUGGGAUUUCUUUGGAAGGAAUGAUGCUAAAGCUGAAGCUCCAGUACUUUGGCCACCUCAUGCAAAGAGUUGACUCAUUGGAAAACACUCUGAUGCUGGGAGGGAUUGGGGGCAGGGGGAGAAGGGGACGACCCAGGAUGAGAUGGCUGGAAUGCAUCACGGACUCAAUGGACAUGAGUCUGAGUGAACUCCGGGAGUUGGUGAUGGACAGGGAGGCCUGGCGUGCCGCGAUUCGUGGGGUCGCAAAGAGUCAGACACGACUGAGCGACUGA
rnacentral:lncRNA from 1 species